rnacentral:lncRNA from 1 species
UUUCCCUUCUGUAGAGACAGUCUACACAUUCCAAUGUCUCUGCCUCUGCUCUGAUUAUGCUACAUGAAUUGACCUUUCUCCAUCCAAACCUUUUUCAGACCCAUUCAAACAUCCUUUCCUUCAUGACGCUUAUCUGAUUCGACUCUCUUCCUUACAACUCCUUCCAACUACAAGUGUAUCUGUUACAGUGUUUAGCACAUUCUGGUUUAUCUUUACUGCUUAUCUUUCUCCCUUACUGAUCUUUCUUGUACAGUUCAUAAGGAGAAGUCAUGCUUGUAUCACAUUUGAAUCAUCCCCAGCAAGUAGUGGAACACCUACAUGAAUUAAUUCAAAUGAGUUUUUCAUGUGAUUUUUUUAAAUGAAAAUUCCACGGGAGAUUACCAUCUCAGAGAGAAAACUAAUUUAAGACUCCUUCACAGAUUAUCAGAUGAGGAUGUGGAAUCAAAGAAGUUUGAAUUGUUAUAAAUGUAUCUGCUCUCAGGAGGCAGAUGAAGGGAAAUUGUAUACGGUACAUUUGGUUUCUCCUUGAUUACUAGCAGCUGCCCAGGACAUUAACAUGAAGUCUCCGGCCUCAGGCUUCUGGAAACCAAGACACCGUGGGACCUCCAUUAAUUGUGGAUGAAGAAAAGGCACAGGAGAGAAAAUUUAAAAAGACCUGUGUAGCUCCUCACGUAGCAAAGCCUACCUUAUUGUGAAGCCUGCAUCUGUGGAAGGGGAUUUUCUACAAAGACCAUCCUCCCCAAGGAUGGGAGAAGCCAGCCUAUAUGACGUGGCCUGGCACUGUGAGGGUUCACACAGAGAAUCUUCUCACUCAGCCUCUUCCCAGGGCUGCAAACACUUUUAGGGAAUCCAUGAUGAAUUAAAGAGAAAAUUGAAUUGAUCCUGAGGACAUUCUGCAGGGCAGGCUACAACGUUUGCAGGGCCCAGAAUACAAUGAAAUUGUGGGUCUUCUUGUUCAAAAGUAGAAAAAAAGUGCUACUAAUGAUGCUAAAGUAUAAAGCUUUUGC